UUUCACUUUCUUAGUGAAAUCUUGCAACAGUGGAAUCAAUUCUUAGAAAGCGUUGCCUGAUGUUUAAUGGGGCCAGUUGCGGAAGGGAGGCAUCUUGAUCAGCACGGAGGUGUUGGGCCGAAGGGCCUGUUUUCCAUGAAAAACACGGAAGUUCUGGAGGAGCUCAGCGGGUCAGGCAGUAUCUGUGGAAGGAAAUGGACAGGAGAUGUUUUGGGGUUCGGCCUUUAGCAUGAUGGGUCAGCAUUGGUGGGUUGGGCCGAAUGGCCUGCUUUCUUGCUGAAUGACCUUGCGACUGCAAGCUUGGGAAACGAGGCUUCCUUGGAUCCAGAUUUGGAAAUGUUGAUAGGGAUUGAUAGAUAGGUCUUUAAGAAACCAGGAACUGCAGAUGCUGGAAUCUUGAGCAAAACACAGAGUUACUCCGGUUACACUUUGUGUAAUUGAGGUUCAAGGUGAUUGUCGGUGGAUGUGUGUGUGUCCUUGGUUUCCCGGAGGUGAAGGAGCGAGCGGUUUUGUUAUUGUUUUGGUGGAUCCGUUUCCUUAUUUGGUUGCUGAUGCGACAGGGAAAGGGGGGCGCUUGGCGUUGCAGGGAGGCGUUGCCUUGCCUUCAGAAUAAUGCAGCUAGCUACCUUUCACAUGACGGGAAGGGCGGGCAGAGCCGGGGGCUCUUGAGGUAACGAGAAUCACGAGGGCUGCGAGCGUAACAAACGAUUGCUCUGUGAUUGAAAAGCGAGACUGCGAAAAAAAAUAACAAUAAAACUGCUACCAAUGCAGUACUGCGGUGAAAUCACAAGAUCCGGCCUCGUCAAUUGCGUUGUUGGGAUUUUUCUGCUGAAUUUUAAUAAUAAGGACAUUGGAAGCCAACAUUUGCAAAGUGGAAGGAGAGGGGGCGAGGGGCUUUCCUUUAGACUGUGCAAAUGGGAGAGAGGGGGGUUGUAAUUAGUGCUGCUAGUGGGAAUGUUUGUGUUGGUUGGGUUUGUGGACGGGCGCUGCAGAUGCAUCUAUGCCUACAGCUUGGGGAGGGAGGAAGUGUAAUGGAUGGGUGGGGGCAAGUUCCCGACAGGGCUGGCAGAUGGGAGGUGAUUUGAUCUUGGGGGUUGUAGCCACUAGACGGCGCGUCCACCGCUUGCUGCAAUUUGGCAGCGCGCCUCCCCUUUGUUUUGAGCUCGUUUUUAUCUGCUGCGUAACACUGUUUUGGAAACUGAACCUUGGUCUUACAAAGCAGGGACCCGCACUUCGGCUGGAAACGCGCCUCCAAAUUUUGAGCACAUAUUUCUCAUACUCUUUUCCCCCCCCCCCCUUCCUUAUUUAUCUCUCUUGGAAACGUUUUAAAGUUAUUUAAUACUGUGACACACUGGGGUGCAGGAAAGAAUUGCUUGCAAAUCAUUUAAUUCUCUCCAUCCCAUAUCAAAUGGCGCGUUGAUAAUUUAUUUAAACUGGAUAAAUUGCUCCCUCUGAACAUCCGCCCAUUUGCAAAUUUGCCAUCAAUGCAAAUUAAUCAAUAUUGCAUUUUAUCUCGUUGCAAUAUAUUAGUUGCGUGUGUGUGAGGGGGGUUUGCAAUUUCUGAAGGGCAUUUUUAAAAAACAAUGCAGUAUUUUUUUUUAAAUAGUAACGGCAUUUUAAAAUAAAAUGCACGAUAAUUAUAAUGUUUUAAGAUUGUGGCGGUGCAAAUUGUGUUUGUAAUUUUGCUGAGGAGCCGCUAGUCUCCCGACAGCCGGGCGAGCUCAGUGCAAAAUAAACUGGCUGCAAUUU